rnacentral:tRNA from 1 species
GACCGCGUAGCUCAGUUGGAAGAGCAUUGGGCCAGUAUUCCAAAGGUUGUAGGUUCGAAUCCUACCGUGGCCG